rnacentral:rRNA from 1 species
CAAUAGCGUAUAUUAAAGUUGUUGCAGUUAAAAGCUCGUAGUUGGAGUUCAGAGUGAGCUCGUCCGGUCGGCCUUAUGGGUCAGAACUGGUUGACUCUCUCUUGUUUGUGGAUCCUGUCAGCAGUUAACUCUGUUGAUGUGGAGUCCACAUCGUUUACCUUGAAAAAUUAGAGUGUUCAAAGCAGGCGUUUGCUUGAAUAUAUUAGCAUGGAAUAAUGGAAUAGGACGCUGGUUCUAUUUUGUUGGUUUUGAGAACCAGAGUAAUGAUUAAUAGGGACAGUUGGGGGCAUUAGUACUUAACUGUCAGAGGUGAAAUUCUCCGAUUUGUUAAAGACUAACUUAUGCGAAAGCAUUUGCCAAGGAUGUUUUCAUUAAUCAAGAACGAAAGUUAGGGGAUCAAAGACGAUCAGAUACCAU